UUUACAUAUUUAGACCUAUUUUCUGCAGUGUUAUUGCAUAUUGAACAACGUGGUAUAAUAUGAACCUUUACUACAUAUUUUCAAAUUUGCUGCUUGUUAAAGCAUUACCUACGUAACAUGUAACUAAAUAAAACAAAGCUAUUUUAUAUAGGAAAUAUGUAUUUUACACAAUUUAUUGCUCCUCACUUUAGCUUUCGAUCACAUGCCUGCAUACACCUGCAUACAUGUAAAGUAAAUACUUUUUACUUUAAGGUCUAUGGUACAUACAUACAUAAUAUGAACUUUAUUUCUGAAAAUUCACACGUCACAGGAAUAUUAAUUUAUACAGACCACAAUCACAAUGAAUUCAGGAUCAGUAAGUUCAAAGUUUGUGCAAGGUUUGAAUCUCCACUAAAAAAUGGUGUUAGCUUUUGCAUUCUGUAAUGCCUUAAAAGCAGGCGCUAGCGAUCCAACGCUUCGUGUCUUCGGCGGCAGACCCGCGGAUCCAUUCGAAUACCCAUAUGUCGUAAGAAUGGAAAUUCAAGGCAAAGUCAAGCUGCAAGACAGUUACAAGGGCCUGUCUAUUCACGUGUGCACCGCGUCUGUGCUGAGCCUCGUUUGGACGCUGACAGCGGGCCAUUGCAUUGAUGGUGUUGACUAUAUGAUAGCUCACCAUUUGCUUGAAUCGGAUUUAUAAGUUUGGUCAUCAGAUAUGGGUCAACAGACAACAGUUUUAGUGCCGUCAUCGCCACAUUAAAGCAUCCAACGUAUAAGUUUAUUAAUAUAAAAACAAGCCAAUUAUUACGUAACGAUGUCGGGCUACUGAAAACUAUGCCAAUAAAACUUGACUGGUACGGCAAGCUGAGCGCAAUGGAGUACCCCUCUCUGAUGGGACAAGCGUCUGUCGCGGUCGGAUACGGCCUCACUAAGGCGGGCAACCAAGUGGACACUACGUUGAAGCUUGGUCAGCCGCUGCAAGUCUUGGACGUUCUUAUCCAAAAAUGCCCGAAGAUUGACCUGACGUAUACUUAUCCAAACGUAUGUAUUAGCAGACAAUGCAAACAGCAGAUCCCCACCACACUUUGUCCGGGUGAUUCUGGGGGGCCCUUGAUUCAUCAUUCGGGAAUCGUAGCAGUUAAUACAGCAACGUUUAUAAAAUGCAAUUUGCGAGUGGACAACCUUGCGGUGACGGAUAGUCGAGUUGCUGGUGUCUUAACGCCUGUCGGUCCUUUCAUUGGGUGGAUAACCCACCACAUAACGAAGGAUAAGACAACGAUAUAAUAAAAUAUUACUAAGUCAUUUUAAUAUUGUUUUCGAUUAUUGCGUACUUUCCAUCAAUACAUUUGAACGAAAAUCUAGUUUAUUGAUAUUGGUUUUGUAAACAAUAAUAACUACUUUACUGGACUGCACAUAAAAUUAUAGUGUUAAAAUUCAUAUAAAAUUCAUUCAUUCAUACAAAAGCAAAAUAGUAAUAAAAUUUUACGAAUGCUGUUCAUAGGGACAUCGUUCAGUAUGUUUUGCUUUAAGUAACAACUAGCCAUUCUACCGAAGCUAAAAGGUAACGGGACCAGAAGUAAUUCAGAAUUCAUGUACAAAAGAGUAGCUGUUUCAUUACAAACUAAAUAAAUCUCAAAAUGAUUCCAGUGUUACUUAUUUUAAGUGUCCUAGGCGGUGUGAUUGAAGCCGCACUGCGGAUCUUUGGCGGCAGAGAUGCAGACCCAAUGGAAUACCCAUACGUUGUCAGACUAGGAAUGAAAAUUUCUUCAAACCAACUUGACGCAUAUUUCGAAUACGUUUGCACUGCAUCAGUGCUAACUCCUGUUUGGACGCUCACAGCGGGACACUGCGUUGAUGAUGCUGUUUUAACCUUUUUGCAAUCUUCAUAUCCCACAGCAUCUUUGAAAUUCGCCAUAAUGUAUGGAUCAGCAACAGCACACCGUUCGACCACCGACAAUCUCAGUGACAUCGUUGCGACUGUUAAGCACCCGGCUUAUAAUUUACUUAAUUUAGUGACCAUACAGCUUGGUGCAUCAGGAUUUAACGACGUUGCACUAGCAAAGACUAAGUCGACGAAAUUGCCCAAGUACGCAAAGCUGAGUGCGGUUGAGUACCCUUCUCUGGUGGGACAAGCGGCCAUCGCAUUUGGAUAUUAUUAUUAUAUUAUUAUUAUUAUUUUCGCAAAAAAGCUUUUUCUCCCAUCAUAUGCUUGAACAGACUUUGCAGUCAACCCGCUACAAAUAUCUGUCGUGGUGAUUCUGGGGGACCCCUGCUGCACGAGUCAGGAAUUGUUGGAAUUAAUCAUAUGGGUGAAUCACACGAAUGUACACUGCGAUCAGCAAAGUCAGGACUUAUGAAAAGUAGUACUGUCGGGUUCAACAUACCGAUCAGUCCCUAUGUGGGAUGGAUAUCUAAUCAAAUACGAGAAAAGGAAGAAGCCCACUAGAUAUGGUGGAGUAAAAUCCAUCUAAAUACCUACAUCGCGGCUUCAUUGCUUACGACUGGGAGACUCCGUCAACAUCUAGUGAACUCUAGUGCGUUGAACUGAAAAUCGUCGGGUUCGAUCACUCAUAACUCGAGAACUGCUAGACUGA